UGCCUGCUUCCAGACAUGGGGUGCAGCAGCU
rnacentral:piRNA from 1 species